AACGACAAGCUUUUUGCCUGACAACACAGAUUCUUCCCCCCCACCCCCCACCCCACCCCACUCCCCCCUGGCUACAGAGGAAAUGUCCCAGCAUCUCCGCUAAGAACCCAAAGUCCAAACCCAAGGUUUCUGAGUAAUGUUUAUUCCUCCCUUUAGUUCAUUUGCAGCCAAUGUUGGUUAACUUAUUGAUUCAUUGAUGAAGCUAGCUAUUGCCAACAUACCUUGAAUAAAAAGCCAAAAAACUUAAUUAAUGUAAAACCACUGAUGCAGGUUACUGGGCAAGGCCAAUGGGAGAAAACCACAUCUUUCUGGACCCCACAUUGGUAAGCCCCAUCUUUAAGGGAUAAAAACCCCUAUAAGACAAUAGAGGGGGGGGACUCUUCUUCCCCCUCCCAGCUGUCCUGGGAGCUGUUUGCCCAGACUUUGCUUACUUGCAAAAAAAUAAUAAUAAUAAUGUAUAACCAUAUAUGUGAUGCAGCAAGGAAGACAGUUUAGGAAGAUGCUGCCAUUCUAACUUCUGUAGUUAGUUACUUCAAAGAAAUGGUUGGUAUUAAAUCUCAUCUCCUCUUAUAUUUAUUUCAUAUUCCCUUUUUCUUUUUUGGAAUUAUCAGACUAGGACUUUAUUUAUAAUUUUUUUUGUCUUUUUAGGGCUAUACCCACAGCAUAUGGAGGUUCCCAGGCUCGGGGUCCAAUCAGAGCCACAGCUGUGGGCCUAUACCACAGCCACAGCAACGCUGGAUCUGAGCUGCAUCUGCGACCUCCACCACAACUCAUGGCAACGCAGGAUCCUUAACCCACUGAGCAAGGCCAGGGAUCAAACCCACAUCCUCAUGGAUACUAGUUGGGUUCAUUAAACACUGAGCCACGAUGGGAACUCCUCAUAUUCUCUUUGUCUUUAGCCAGUAACUCAGCUGAUCAGUAUUUUUCACCUGGCAGGGUGUCCCAAACCUUCCUUCCUAAGGGAUUGGAGCCAUCAGUGGCCCUGUGUUUCUGAGGUUGCCAUGGUUUUUAUUAACUUUUACCACUGGAUAUUCUCUGCUAGGUAGAACCCAUUAUUGCUGGUAUGUUACCAUGUAGCUUGUUGCUCCUUUUGUGCCAUCGUGAGCCAGUAUUUCAACACCCCCUCUUGGUCUGUUUGUCUAAUAGCAUUAAAGAGUCUGAAAUAGUUAUGUGACACUUUGAACUUUCAGCCUGAUUCAUGCUGUCCUCUUGUUCUUUUUUUGAGUCCUAAAGAAGCAGAGUCAGAGGGUGGAAAGCAAGCUUUUUGCUGAGGUGGUCGCUUCCCACUUCCCCUCCCUGGUUCCAGGAACCAUGUAUCCUGGCCAAAGGAAGGCCACCUGUCAGAGCACGUAACACAUCUUUUCAGAUGUUACCCCAGUUCCACAAGCUCUCCUGCCUUGCAGUUUGUAUCCUAACUGAAUUUCCAGUUGACCUUCCCACUGUUGCAGGCUUGCUGCAUUUGAGCCUUGCUUGAUUGCUUGGUAGGACCAUCACAUUUUUUGAACCCACAGCCUUGUUUUGCAAGACGUGUUUCGGGCUCAGAAGCCCUGUGGUGAUGAUGGCAAAUGCGGUCUUCAGUAAGGCCGUGAGUGGUGUGACUGGCAGAAAGAUGGCAGACAUAGAAGAUACAUACAAAUCUGGAGUAAAAGUCCACUCCAAUGAAGAUAAGUUAUCCCCUCCUCUGUGAUGAAAGAGGCCUAAUGUAAUCUACCCAUCAUUGCUGGCCCAUCUCCCUGUGAUGUGAAAGUUCUUGGGGAGGUUCAGAGUCACUGAGCAUUUGGCAGGGUUCAGCCUUGGUGCAGUUAAGUCCCUGUUGUUGAGCUCAGGCAUAAUAUUCAUCCUUGCUACCCUGGCCACCUGCUCAUGAGCCCUUUGAGCAGGUUCUCUGGCUGCCAGGGAAAGAGACUGGUCAGUAUAGAAGGGGUAGGUCAUCUUGCCCCACGUAUUAUAAGCACUUCUUAAUAGGGCCUUUCCAAGAACAUUCACACCAAAUACAAAUAUUGUCACACUCUGUGUAACUUUUCCCCAAGUGUCUUUGUCACCAGUUCUUUUGAGUUUCCACCAGUGAAUGAAUAUUCAGCUCUCAGUCUCUCUCUCGCCUUAAAGGCCAGUAGACCCAAAAUAUACUAGUCAGCAUUCUGCCCCCUGAACAGAAUUGACUGCUUGACCCUCAGGUUGUCUCAUUUCAUUCAUUUACAUCUAGCCCAUACCUUCCUAUUGGGCAGAGCCAUUGAUUAAUCAGGCACACAGUUUCAUCUGCUAGUAAACUGGUCACUCAAGUUGUCACUCUUUCAGGUCGUUUGUAUAAGUCAGAGAAACACACCCAUAUAUAUACCCACUCGUGUUUGUGCUGAUUUCUUAGUGGUAAGGGAUACAGGAUACAGAAACUUGACUUUCCUUUUAGAUGAGCUCUUUCAAGUGCCCCGGAUUGCUGGAUGUUCAGAAACUAUUUUCAUAGGAUUCAUCUGUCACUGUCUGGCACGGCUGUGUCUUAGAAUGACAUCUAGAAUACAUGCCACCUUCUGCUCUAUAAGCCCUACCAUUAUGUGGUCACUGUUGUAGACCAGAAUAAUAUCCUGAGAUAGUGAGAUAAUGAAGGUCUUUGUGGCCUGAUAGUGCCACUGAAGCAGAAUGUUUAGAGAACAUGAGGCAAAAAGUUGUGUGGCUGUCCUGCUGUAGAUGGAGACCUCUGCUCUCUGCUCACUGCGAUGGAAACACUGGAUUUUUCCAGCUCUGUAUCGCGGAUGCCGCAAUAGAGAGACCAUCUCCAGAAGAACUAAACGUACAUUAUUCCAGUGUCAUUUGCCAAGACAUACUUGGCUUCUGCUUAGGCCAGAGCGGUGAGUUAAAUAAGGAAGAUUCUGGGAGUUCUCAUCGUGGCUCAGCAGUAACAAACUGGACUUCUAUCUAUGAGGACGUGGGUUUGAUCUCUGGCCCCAAUCACUGGGCUACGGAUCCAGUGUUGCCAUGAGCUGUGCUGCCAGCCCACGCCAGAGCCACAGAAACACAGGAUCUGAGCCGCCUCUGCGACCUACACUACAGCUCACAGCAAUGCCGGAUCCUUAACCCACUGAGUAAGGUCAGGGAUCGAACCCGCAGCCUCAUGGUUCCUAGUUGGAUUCAUCAACCACUGAGCCACGAUGGGAACUCCCUUGGUUUGUGGCUUUGGUAGGAAAGGGAAACCCCAGAGACUGCCUUCUAGCCCUCCACAGCCAUCACAGCACUAACCCCAUGUGCCGUGGAGUCCAAGUGUGGAUUCUGUCAGUCACAGCAUACAUCUAUUCCAGUCAUGUACUCAGCAGCUGAGACAACAACCUUUAGACUUUUACAGAGCUGUUGGGCCCCUUGUGAGAUGAAUCGAAGCCAGGUUUCUUUUGUUGGUUGAUUGGUUUGCUUGCUUGCUUUUUAGGGCCGCACCCAUGGCAUAUGGAAGUUCUCAGGCUUGGGGUCAAAUUGGAGCUGCAGCUACAGGCCUACGCCACAGCCACAGCAACACCAUAUCCAAGCCACGUCUGCAACCUACACCGCAGCACGUGCCAACGCUGGAUUCUUAACCCACUGAGCAAGGCCAGGGAUGGAUUCUAGACAGGUUCAUUACCGCCGAGACACAGUGGGAACUUCUGAAGCCAGGUUUCCAUUUAUUCCCCCCUGGUGGGUCACAGUGCCAACCAGAAACCCCAAGAAUUAGCACCGUUUCAGAGCCAGUGUCCAGUCAUCCUCAGAAGUUCUGGGAAGUUUCUUCUCCCUGUGCAGGUACCUAGUAAACAGUUGCAGAUCCCAAGCAGGAAAUGUAGAGGAGAUACUUGCAGUAUCUUUGAGGAGACCUUACUCAGGGGAUGUCUGGCUCUCUGUUCAAGGAGGUUUGGGUCAGGGAACUGACUCACAUCUGGGGCUGAAUGAGACACUAGGUCUCUUCUUCAUGGCAAAGCAGGUCAGACCCCUAUUCACCAGGCCUAGAUUUCGUUCUGUCUUACAUGUACUAGCUUUCUAGGGCCAUCUUAAUGCUUCAGAUUGCCAAACACAGAAACUCAUUUUCUCACACUUCUGGAGGUUGGAAGUUUGAGAUCAAGGCGCCGUAGGGUUGGUUCUUCUGAGGCCUCUCCCCUUGGCACGUAGGUGGCCUUUUUCUCCCUGUAGCUUCACGUGGUUCUCCUUCUCUACAUGUCUAUGUCCUGACUCCCUCCUCUUAAAAAUUCCACCUCUUACACAGUCAUAUUGAAUUAGGGCCCACCCUCAUGACCCCAUUUCAGUUAUCUCGUUAAAGAUUGUAUUUCCAAAUAUAGUCACAUUUUGACUCGCUUGGGGUUCCAAAGGAGGUUAGGACUUCAACCUAAGAAUUCUAGAGAGGAGUUCCCCUUGUGGUUCAGUGGGUCAAGAGCCCGACUAGUAUCCGUGAGGAUGUGGGUUCAAUCCCUGGCCUUGCUCAGUGGGUUAAGGAUCCGGCAUUGUUGCAAGCUGUGGUAUAGGCUGCAGAUGUGGCUUGGAUCUGUCAUUGCUAUGGCUGUGGCAUAAGCCGGCACCUGCAGCUCCAAUAUGACCCCUAGCCUGGGAACUCCCCUACACCGCAGGUGUGGACAUAAACAGAAAAAAGAAAAA
rnacentral:lncRNA from 9 species